CUUAGAGGAAGAAAUGCCACCUCUCACCAUGUCCCAAGUUUGCAAAUCACUGGCUUUGGCUGCGUCACAUGAUCUCCCUUUAGCCAAUCCUUGCUGAGAAGGGAGGCAGCACUCUGAUUGGCCUACCCUGAACCCAGGUCUACCCCUUGGAUCAAAAACCACAUCAGGACCAUGGAAAAUACAGGCAGGUACAGACGAGGCAGUUUGAAUAUUUGGAACAGGGACCCAAAACCAUAACCAUCCUUCCCUCCAAAAUGGAUACGUGCAGUGGACAUCAGUGAGACCCCCCACUCCCCCAGGGAGGCUGAUCCGAGGCUGCCAGAGUAAGGUCCAUUCCGCAACAAGGUCCAUUCUGAAGAAAUGCGACAGUGAUGCUGGGCCCUGGGCAGCCACCUGUUACACCGCACUCCACAGGCCACCUCACAGAAGAAAAGGCAGACCCAGAUCCUCCUCUAGCUGCGUAUUCACCUGAAUGUCAAGAGGCAGACCCCGGAGCAUCCAGCAAAACCUCUGUGCUUAGAUGUCUUCAGAUCCACGAAAUAGCAGACUGAGUCCUCCACAUCCUCUGAGGGAGUUAUUAUGAAGCUGUUUCACACAUGAAGAGACAAAGCUUGGAGUGGUUACAUGAAGUUUUUGGAAGCUCCACCUAGAAAGAGAGAGUUCCAGGAUUUUCACCCAGGAGAUUCAAAUCCAGAAUUAAAGCUCUUAACCACACCACCUUCUGGAUUUGUUUAGCCAGAUGAAAUUUUGCCCUUCAACAUUUGCAACCCCAAAAGUAAUAGAGAUGACAUCAGAGAGGAGACCAAAGAAGAGAAUUAAGUUUCUCUCUCCAGUCACCCCAUGCAUACUACUGCACAAGACUGAAAUGCUGGACCUAAGAGCACUGUGGGAUUUUGUCAGUUCUUAGAGCAUUCAGAGCCUCCCUGCACCCACUGUGGGUCUUCAGUACCUCCCCCCAUCACCUUCCUCAACAAGACCUACUCACCUUCUUGGAGCCUUGAAUCUCUGACUGGUACCAAAUCCCCGGGAGUCUGGAGCUGCCAUUUCAUAUGUCAAAGAUGCUUUUGCAUGGUAGAGGAAAUGUAGGUCAUUUUUCAAUGACUUGGCUAUCUUCAAGCAACUCUGAGAGUCGGAAGUGGGCUAAGGACGCAGGACUAGAUAAGUAGGAUUUGUCUCAGAAGGAGCCACCUAUGUCUCCACUCCAAGCUGCUCCUCUCUGGCCUCCCUACCGCAGACCUGUGCUUUGCUGCCAUCUGCUCCACAUCUGGACAGACAGUGCCCCCCUCAGGCCAUACUCGACACUGAGCUGUAUGACAAAGACAAACCGCCCACAGGGACUUAGGAGGACACAGGCAAACCUCUACUGGUGACCCCAAUUCCAGAUUCGAACCCAGGUCUCCAGAGACCCGGCAGAGACAAGCAGAAACGAGAGGGCAGGCUGCCUCCCCCGCUCACGUUCAUGUUGGAGACAGGCAACCAGCAAGCCAGUCCUCAUCCUACGUAGUCAUCAGUACAACGAUAAAAUAAAUCAGACCCUGGCAGCGACGGAGAAGAGAUUACUUCAGAGGCGAGGAGGGCAGCUGGGUAAGGGAAGAUCGCUCCAAGGGUCAGUCCGACAAAGAGCUGAGGAAAGAAGAUUCCGGGCAAAGGGCACAGAAAGUGCAAAGGCAGAAGCAGGAGCACACCUGGACCAGACCCUGACCUCUGCGUGCCAUCCCCCAGUCCUUCCCCAGGCUGGAGUUGACCUCUGAACUGAACGCUGUGCCUGGAUCUUUGUAGCCUCUGGACACUUCCACAAUGCCAGUUGUCCUUCUCUGCCCACUUCCUUGCUCUCUGUUUGAGAAUUGACAAGGACCUCCCACACACACCCUCCCCCUCAGGGAGCAGGUAUCAUUGCAGACUGCCGCCCCCACCCCAGACUGGAUGGUGAACACUUCCCAUGCUGGGCCUGACCCCCACUCCCCCGAGGACAAAGGGCAAUUAUCAUUUAGUGGCACUGUGGGCUCAGGCAGCAGCUAUCCCUGAGUUGACUGGAACACAUUACCCACAUUAUUUCUCACUUGAUACCUGUCGAGAAACCCUUGAGAGAGCUGAAGGACGUGGUUUAGUCCUGGGUUACAGAUGGGCUGUGGAAACAGAAAGGUAGGUAUGCAUGGUUUUCAAGAGCCCAGAGUAACAGAGCCCACAUUUGUGGGAGCCUAAAUCAGCAUCAAUUACAAGUGAGUGCAGUUAGGGGAAGAUUCGUAAGCCUGGUACAGAGAUAAAUAAACCUGCGGAUU